rnacentral:ncRNA from 1 species
AAGAGCCGUAUGACGCGAGAGUGUCACGUACGGUUCCGUGGGAGCGUAGGGGGGCGGUGCCCCUGCGCCACCCGAU